CAGAAUACACACGAGCAUCAAUACGGAUUUUGGUUCAUCUCACUGCUGGGAGUAACUAAAGCCUAUUCCAACCGAACACCACCAUUGUCCCUGAUCCGCGAAGUACUCCAAGAUGGCGGGUGCAGUGACAUACAACAUUACGUUCAGCUGGAACGCAUUUUGAUGGAUUACAAAAUGUACUCCGACUUAGAGGGGGCGCUCGACCCUUCCUGGCAAAAGGCAGACUCAAGUUUUUGUGAGGCGAGCCCAGAACAGAUUGAUGAAUUCUGUAAGAAGAUCAGGACCAUGAAGACCGAGGACACAUUGAGACAAUACUUUGAGCAGUGUGAGGAAUCUCGACUCAAAGUGGGACAGGCCAUCACCAUUUUCGCCCGCAAGUAGCAACAUGUGACGUCAUCAGUGGCGGAUCCAGAAAACCUAUUGGGGGGAGGGGGGGGGGGUGGGGCAAUGACAUGAGGUCGAAUGCCAAUGGAACUUUGGGGGAGUUUUGGAGGGGAUCGUAAAAAAAAUAAUGGAUAAUAAAAUUAUAACUGUUGCAAAAUGUAGGGGGGCCGCCCACUUUCUUCCGCUUCUGGUCAUCACAGCAUUAUUAGUUUCCUUAAUAUAAUUCAAUUUAGAAGAAAAAAAAUCCCUGAUAAUACAUGCAAUGAAUUUUUUUUUUUUUAAAGAUAAAAGAUGACCCCAAAAAUAAUAAAAAAUAAAAAAUAAAAAAAUAAAAAUAAAAAUAAAAAUGAAAUAAAAAAUAAAUAAUUGCUUAGUGGAUAACAACAUUGUCAUGAUGUCAUGCCUAAUGCAUAUUACUUUACGCGUAAACACUAGCGCUCAUUGAUUUAUUAAUCGUCGGAUUUUAGUUGUGAAACAUUUGGUAAUUUCCCAUACUCUUAGAGAGAAAACCCGGUAAUUGUUUUCAUCCGAAGCAAGGGAUCUUUUAUGUAUAGGGGGCGAG
rnacentral:misc_RNA from 1 species